UAGGAUGUAGCUAAGUAGAAAAGUAUCUCCCUUACACUGAGAAGACAUUCGUGCAAAUCGAAUCGCCCUAA
rnacentral:tRNA from 2 species